GCCGGGCAUGGUGGUGCAUGCCUGUAAUCCGAGAUACUCAGGAGGCUGAGGUGGGAGAAUUGCUUUAACCCAGGAGGCGGAGAUUGCAGUGAACUGAGAUCAUGCCACUGCACUCCAGCCUGGAUGACAGAGCAAGACUCCAUCUCAA
ensembl:misc_RNA Metazoa_SRP Metazoan signal recognition particle RNA